rnacentral:rRNA from 1 species
CGGACGGGUGAGGAACACGUGGAUAACCUGCCUUUGACACAGGAAUAACGUUCAGAAAUGGACGCUAAGGCCUGAUAAGCCUACGACAUCGCAUGGUGAUGUAGGAAAAUAUUUAUAGGUCAAAGAGGGGUCCGCGGCUGAUUAGCUAGUUGGGGGGGUAAAGGCCCACCAAGGCAACGAUCAGUAGCCGGGAUGAGAGUCUGGACGGCCACAUUGGGACUGAGACACGGCCCAAACUCCUACGGGAGGCAGCAGUGGGGAAUAUUGCACAAUGGGCGGAAGCCUGAUGCAGCAACGCCGCGUGAAGGAAGACGGCCCUCGGGUUGUAAACUUCUAUCGACAGGGAAGAAAGAAAUGACGGUACCUGAAUAAGAAGCACCGGCUAACUACGUGCCAGCAGCCGCGGUAAUACGUAGGGUGCAAGCGUUAUCCGGAAUUACUGGGUGUAAAGGGUGAGUAGGCGGUUAAAUAAGUCAUGUGUGAAAAUCCUGUGCUCAACAUAGGACCUGCACAAGAAACUGUUUGACUUGAGUACGGGAGAGGUAAGCGGAAUUCCUAGUGUAGCGGUGAAAUGCGUAGAUAUUAGGAAGAACACCAGUGGCGAA